GAUGGCACCUGUAUCUUUAUUGGAACUCUACUUGUCCCUUUCGAAGUCUAACCUUACCUGUCUCGUUUCUGUAAGUAUAACUACCUGUCUAUCAUCAAGGCCGAGCUUAGUGACCUACAAUCCACCAUCAUCAACUUGUUAGACCCCUCCCCUGAUGGAUCUGCUCUGAUCAACAAACUUCGCCAUGUCAACGUACCUACUGUCUGUUUACAGGCUAGAGUACAUGAGGUGAUGUUCCAGUACUUUGAGGACAAAGACAUCCAGAAGGACAAAUCGGGUUUGAUGCAGUGUGUGAUCUGUGUUGCUGAUAAAAUCUUCAAUGUCUUCCUCAAAAUUAUGUCUGAAAAGAAACCACAAACAGUAUUUGCCAAAAUCAUAACUGGAGCUGGACAUCUUUCAAGCUGAAGAUUGAGGCCAGAUUUUGUAUGCUAGCGUACACUCCUUAACAGUUUUACUGGAUGAAAACACAGCAAGAAAAAACAGAUACAGGCAGACUUUGCAGUGCCUCCGUGUGCGACUACCUUGAGCAGCAGUUUGAGGGACUUCGAUGGGAUAAUACCGUGCAGUGAGGCGUAGGGGAUUGUCCGCAGCAGGGCGACCCCCAAUGGAUGGGCACCGAGGGGUGUGGUGCUCCUCCAGCAGCUCUCUCAUGAGGUUCUCUCUAUACUUUUGGUAAUCCACCUUUCCUGUGGCCGACUUGGUUGCUGUAUGGACAGUGGAGAGGACACGGACGUCUCGUUUGUCAUGCCACUUUACUGCCAGUGGUUGACCGUUCUCCUUGAACUCCAGCCACCCCUCUGCUGCAUCCGAAUGCCGGCAUCCCCUUUCUGUGCUGUUGGAGAGCAGAUUCUGGAAGAGUGUGAGACUGCUGUACAAACUGUCUACAUACAAAGUGUGUCCCUUGCUGAGAUGAGGAGCCAGCAUGGUCAUCACCGUGGACCCGGACACCCCAAGCCCCUCAUAAUGUUGAAUGUCAGUGGUGGACCCUGUAUAGACUAUAAUGUCCUGGGCAAAUCCUGUCUUCAAGUCACACAUAUCAAAGAACUUGACCCCAAACCUGUGCCUUUUGGAGAAAAUAUAUUGACGGAACGCCAGCCUACCCUUCCAUAACAUCAGGGACUUUUCUUAUUUUGUGUGACGGGUCAUUUAGGUAGGCAGUAGCAUUGUUGACGAAAUGCAGGCAUCGCAGCAGAAAAGAUGGUGGCAAAGAAGGGUGUUGCAAACAUAGGAUCUGUGAUCCAGUAUUCUCUUAGGGAGUUCUUUACUAUCCCCAUGAGAAAGACUGUCACCAAGAAGGUAUACAUUUCACAAAUUGUGGUUGUCCCCCCCACUCUUGGCUCUCUCUUCUCCUGUAGCUCCAAGGCAUUUGCGAUUGAUCUCUGCUAUGUCUCCCACCAGCUCCUCUGUCAGAAAGAACAGAUGGAAAUGGCAAGGGACUCCAGACUUGGACUCUCCAGACUUGGACUCAUCAAAGCAAACAGCAGGGCCAGGAGGGAUGAAAUGGCUGGCAGCCUUCCAGCUACCACAGAACUCCUGUACUUCAUCCACUGUCGGUAUGCCUCCAUCACCACCAGCAUCUUCAAAGGGACCUGGGACUUCGUCAGUGGACAAGGGGUCAUCAGAUUCAGGGUUCUCAAUGGCUACAAGGGUUGGGGGGCAGCUCCUCACUGUCACUGUCAGAAUCUGAUUCCUGACUUUCAUGCUCAGACUCACUGUCAGAAUUUAUAAAAAUCUCCAUAAUUUCCCCAUUUGUGAAGGAGAUUGCUAAUGCUACAGCUUAGCCUACUAACUACAUAAACAACAACACUGAAUGGCUCAGAGUGGGAGUCAGAGGUUAUGUGAUUGACUGCCGGCACAUCCCUAAACAGUGUUAAAUGCCGACUGUUGCGUCAAUCGAAACUGGACGUUCUAAAUAAGCCCUCUAAUCACACCGGUUUGAGUGUACGUUGUAGAAUGAUCACACCUGUUUGUUGCUCUGUGUGAAAAGGUUAAUACCAAAUGUUGCUUUGGUUUUUAAUUAUUUUACAGCCCGGGAAAAUAUGUGUUAACUGUAGUCAUUUUUGACAUAAAAUAAAUUGUUUAAGAAUUGUGUAUCAAAAUGUAGUGUGUUGAGUUUUGUUUAGGAAAAGGAUAUGUUUGUUUAUAGAAACCCCAUUUUAUUUAGGUUAUUUUGCCACCUGCUGGCCAAUUAAUGUUUCACACUCUAGAACCGCGUAAGGGGUUACCUGGCAAGAUGGCACCAGCUAGUAAUUUACAGCAGGCAAACUAGCUGUUAUAGAUGUCACAAAGAGCUACAGUUUUCAACAGUGUCCUUUUAUUUCAUUUCCUUUCAUUUACCGUUUUUUUGUUGAUCUUUUUAUACUUUUUAAAGUUAGCUUUUACCAUCAUUAUCAUUUGGAAUCUGUUCAAAUAACCUGGUAAACAAUCAAUGCUUUAAUUAUCUAACCUUGGAAAUGUGUGACAAACUGGACUGCAAUCAAUAAAUCUCAAGAUGUUUAUUGGAAUAUAUG